AAAAAAAUGAUCAUACAAUCACGGGGAGACUGCAGAUUCAAUACAGAAUUGAAGACCACCAAAAUCGUUUUUACUGUGCUGGCAAUAUUCAUCAUUCUUUGGACACCCUACACCGUUGUCUACGUGUCGUCAUCAAACAGUGGCAACAUGAACACCAUCCCACCCAGCGUGUUCAAGUUCUGUGGAUUCCUCACUGCAAUGCAUUCAAUGUGCAACUCUAUUAUCUAUUUUACAAUGACCAAAAGCUUCCGAAAGAUUGCUGUCAAGUUGCUGCGAAAAAUCUUUACAUGCGUUCUCCCGGCGAACGAGGAAUCGGCCGGAACAACAGAGUCGCUUUCUUGCGAAAAAGCAAGCUGUUCUGCAAAAAUAACUCCUCUAUCAGACAAAAAGGUUUUGCCUUUGCUAGUUCUUACGAGUCGAGCACCCGGAGAUUCGAAAAUAUAAAUGAGUAACUCAACGCAUUUAGGACUCUUAUGGAAACUGCGAUCGAGUUACAUACAGAAAAGACCUCGCGUUAUUUCUAGAGCUUACGUAGGGGUAGCUUCCUGCAUCACAUAGGCCUCAAGAUAUAUUGUGAACUUUAUUUAAACACGGAUUCAGUAUCAUUAGGACAAAAUGAUCUUCCCGAGAGCUGUGUAUAUAAAAAAAACUAGAUUAAAUAGUAAUAGGAAAAAUAUACUGCAAAACUAAGAAGUGUUCUAAAAGAGAGGAAUCUGUGAUAAGAUUUUGAAAUUUAUUGAAUCACUCUUCGGUUCCAAAUACAGAAACCUAAUUUUGAUUGUUAUUUCCCUUUAACAUUCUUAAUUAACAGUUUAUGAGAAAAGAACGAAAAGUUGAUGAAUUCUGAAACUGGAAAAGUAUGCCAUGCGGCUUCGGAUCAGUGGCGUAACUACUAUGGGCUCGGACCGGGAGAACCCGGGGGCCCCCAACCCCAACGGGGGCCCCCAGGCUCAGGCUAUAGCCUAUAGAGCAACAAUGCCAUUCUCUGACCAUCAGAAUUCUGUAAAAUCUC